rnacentral:lncRNA from 1 species
CCCUAAUGUCUUUGUAGGCCCUUUCUGGACCUCCCUCCAGGACCAAUGACUCUUAAGGGCAACCACUCCCUGAAUGCUGCUCCUGUGGCCCAAGUGAACUGGUGGUGUGGCCAUGCUGAGGCUCAAGAGCAAGGGGUGCUCUGCAGGAGAGGUGUAAGGAUGCAAAUUCAUGGUGCAGUUGCGAGGAUUUCUAUCAGUACAUGAUAAUCUCUUGGCAGCUGGUAAUGAGCUGGGCUGGAACCAAACAAUGUCAACAAGGUGAGAAGAAGAAAAAUAGGAAGAUUGUAGAUCACAUAUGUGCAGUACCAUAAAAUGGUGCUCUGCACUCCCACAAAGACACAUAUACGCCCACAUUGAGGAAGCUCACCAUAAGAGGAGGCUUGUUUUACUGAAGAGGGAGGCUCGAAGGUCAGAAAGUCACAGAGCCAAUCACCUGAGAGUGAAAAUGGACUAAAAGUAUUGCACAGAAGUUGGGAAGUCACUUGCAUCAUCUUUUCCAUCCCUUUUCCAGUACUUAAGGGUACCAAAAACAUUAUUCCACUGCU